rnacentral:rRNA from 2 species
UUCAUCUCCGGGGGUAGAGCACUGUUUCGGCUAGGGGGCCAUCCCGGCUUACCAACCCGAUGCAAACUGCGAAUACCGGAGAAUGUUAUCACGGGAGACACACGGCGGGUGCUAACGUCCGUCGUGAAGAGGGAAACAACCCAGACCGCCAGCUAAGGUCCCAAAGUCAUGGUUAAGUGGGAAACGAUGUGGGAAGGCCCAGACAGCCAGGAUGUUGGCUUAGAAGCAGCCAUCAUUUAAAGAAAGCGUAAUAGCUCACUGGUCGAGUCGGCCUGCGCGGAAGAUGUAACGGGGCUAAACCAUGCACCGAAGCUGCGGCAGCGACACUGUGUGUUGUUGGGUAGGGGAGCGUUCUGUAAGCCUGUGAAGGUGUGUCGUGAGGCAUGCUGGAGGUAUCAGAAGUGCGAAUGCUGACAUAAGUAACGAUAAAGCGGGUGAAAAGCCCGCUCGCCGGAAGACCAAGGGUUCCUGUCCAACGUUAAUCGGGGCAGGGUGAGUCGACCCCUAAGGCGAGGCCGAAAGGCGUAGUCGAUGGGAAACGGGUUAAUAUUCCCGUACUUGGUGUUACUGCGAAGGGGGGACGGAGAAGGCUAUGUUGGCCGGG